rnacentral:rRNA from 1 species
CUGUGAUUAUACCGCAUACGAUCUAUUGAUGAGCGCGGGUGAUCGCACGACCUUGUCGCGAAUGGGGCGGCGCGAUGGCGAGAUUAUUUACUUGGUGAGGUAGAGGCUCACCACGGCUGCUAUCUGUAGCUGGUCUGAUAAGACGACCACCCACCCUGCGACUGAUACACCGCCCACACUCCUACUGGAGGCAGCAGUGGGGAAUUUUGGACGAUGGGGGACACCCUGAUCCACCCAUGCUGCGUGCGUCAUGAAGGCCUUCCGGUUGUAAACUGCUUUUGUUCAGAACGAAAUGUUCUUUCCUACUAGUGAGGGCCGAUGACAGUACCGGAACAAUAGACACCCGCUAUCUACGUGCCCACACCCGCGGUAAUACAUAAUGUGCGAGCGUUCAUCAUAAUUACUGGUCGUAUAGCGUGCGCACGCUGUUAUUUAACACAGAUGUGAAAUCCCCGGUCUCAUCCUGUGAACUGCUUCUGUGACUGCAUAUCUAGACUACGAUAGAUAGGGAUAGAAUUCCACGUGUAGCAGUGAAGUGCGUAUAUA